rnacentral:rRNA from 1 species
GGGUUGUGAGGUUAAGCGACUAAGCGUACACGGUGGAUGCCCUGGCAGUCAGAGGCGAUGAAGGGCGUGCUAAUCUGCGAUAAGCGCCGGUAAGGUGAUAUGAACCGUUAUAACCGGCGAUACCCGAAUGGGGAAACCCAGUGUGACUCGUCACACUAUCAUUAACUGAAUCCAUAGGUUAAUGAGGCGAACCGGGGGAACUGAAACAUCUAAGUACCCCGAGGAAAAGAAAUCAACCGAGAUUCCCCCAGUAGCGGCGAGCGAACGGGGAGGAGCCCAGAGCCUGAAUCAGCAUGUGUGUUAGUGGAAGCGUCUGGAAAGGCGCGCGAUACAGGGUGACAGCCCCGUACACAAAAGCGCAUGUGCUGUGAGCUCGAUGAGUAGGGCGGGACACGUGGUAUCCUGUCUGAAUAUGGGGGGACCAUCCUCCAAGGCUAAAUACUCCUGACUGACCGAUAGUGAACCAGUACCGUGAGGGAAAGGCGAAAAGAACCCCGGCGAGGGGAGUGAAAAAGAACCUGAAACCGUGUACGUACAAGCAGUGGGAGCACCCUUUGGGGUGUGACUGCGUACCUUUUGUAUAAUGGGUCAGCGACUUAUAUUCUGUAGCAAGGUUAACCGCAUAGGGGAGCCGGAGGGAAACCGAGUCUUAACCGGGCGUUAAGUUGCAGGGUAUAGACCCGAAACCCGGUGAUCUAGCCAUGGGCAGGUUGAAGGUUGGGUAACACUAACUGGAGGACCGAACCGACUAAUGUUGAAAAAUUAGCGGAUGACCUGUGGCUGGGGGUGAAAGGCCAAUCAAACCGGGAGAUAGCUGGUUCUCCCCGAAAGCUAUUUAGGUAGCGCCUCGUGAAUUCAUCUCCGGGGGUAGAGCACUGUUUCGGCUAGGGGGCCAUCCCGGCUUACCAACCCGAUGCAAACUGCGAAUACCGGAGAAUGUUAUCACGGGAGACACACGGCGGGUGCUAACGUCCGUCGUGAAGAGGGAAACAACCCAGACCGCCAGCUAAGGUCCCAAAGUCAUGGUUAAGUGGGAAACGAUGUGGGAAGGCCCAGACAGCCAGGAUGUUGGCUUAGAAGCAGCCAUCAUUUAAAGAAAGCGUAAUAGCUCACUGGUCGAGUCGGCCUGCGCGGAAGAUGUAACGGGGCUAAACCAUGCACCGAAGCUGCGGCAGCGACGCUGAUGCGUUGUUGGGUAGGGGAGCGUUCUGUAAGCCUGUGAAGGUGGCCUGUGAGGGUUGCUGGAGGUAUCAGAAGUGCGAAUGCUGACAUAAGUAACGAUAAAGCGGGUGAAAAGCCCGCUCGCCGGAAGACCAAGGGUUCCUGUCCAACGUUAAUCGGGGCAGGGUGAGUCGACCCCUAAGGCGAGGCCGAAAGGCGUAGUCGAUGGGAAACAGGUUAAUAUUCCUGUACUUGGUGUUACUGCGAAGGGGGGACGGAGAAGGCUAUGUUGGCCGGGCGACGGUUGUCCCGGUUUAAGCGUGUAGGCUGGUUUUCCAGGCAAAUCCGGAAAAUCAAGGCUGAGGCGUGAUGACGAGGCACUACGGUGCUGAAGCAACAAAUGCCCUGCUUCCAGGAAAAGCCUCUAAGCAUCAGGUAACAUCAAAUCGUACCCCAAACCGACACAGGUGGUCAGGUAGAGAAUACCAAGGCGCUUGAGAGAACUCGGGUGAAGGAACUAGGCAAAAUGGUGCCGUAACUUCGGGAGAAGGCACGCUGACAUGUAGGUGAAGUGAUUUACUCACGGAGCUGAAGUCAGUCGAAGAUACCAGCUGGCUGCAACUGUUUAUUAAAAACACAGCACUGUGCAAACACGAAAGUGGACGUAUACGGUGUGACGCCUGCCCGGUGCCGGAAGGUUAAUUGAUGGGGUCAGCGCAAGCGAAGCUCCUGAUCGAAGCCCCGGUAAACGGCGGCCGUAACUAUAACGGUCCUAAGGUAGCGAAAUUCCUUGUCGGGUAAGUUCCGACCUGCACGAAUGGCGUAAUGAUGGCCAGGCUGUCUCCACCCGAGACUCAGUGAAAUUGAACUCGCUGUGAAGAUGCAGUGUACCCGCGGCAAGACGGAAAGACCCCGUGAACCUUUACUAUAGCUUGACACUGAACAUUGAGCCUUGAUGUGUAGGAUAGGUGGGAGGCUUUGAAGUGUGGACGCCAGUCUGCAUGGAGCCGACCUUGAAAUACCACCCUUUAAUGUUUGAUGUUCUAACGUGGACCCGUAAUCCGGGUUGCGGACAGUGUCUGGUGGGUAGUUUGACUGGGGCGGUCUCCUCCUAAAGAGUAACGGAGGAGCACGAAGGUUGGCUAAUCCUGGUCGGACAUCAGGAGGUUAGUGCAAUGGCAUAAGCCAGCUUGACUGCGAGCGUGACGGCGCGAGCAGGUGCGAAAGCAGGUCAUAGUGAUCCGGUGGUUCUGAAUGGAAGGGCCAUCGCUCAACGGAUAAAAGGUACUCCGGGGAUAACAGGCUGAUACCGCCCAAGAGUUCAUAUCGACGGCGGUGUUUGGCACCUCGAUGUCGGCUCAUCACAUCCUGGGGCUGAAGUAGGUCCCAAGGGUAUGGCUGUUCGCCAUUUAAAGUGGUACGCGAGCUGGGUUUAGAACGUCGUGAGACAGUUCGGUCCCUAUCUGCCGUGGGCGCUGGAGAACUGAGGGGGGCUGCUCCUAGUACGAGAGGACCGGAGUGGACGCAUCACUGGUGUUCGGGUUGUCAUGCCAAUGGCACUGCCCGGUAGCUAAAUGCGGAAGAGAUAAGUGCUGAAAGCAUCUAAGCACGAAACUUGCCCCGAGAUGAGUUCUCCCUGAGACUUAGAGUCUCCUGAAGGAACGUUGAAGACGACGACGUUGAUAGGCCGGGUGUGUAAGCGCAGCGAUGCGUUGAGCUAACCGGUACUAAUGAACCGUGAGGCUUAACCUUACAACGCCGAAG